rnacentral:rRNA from 1 species
AUUGAACGCUGGCGGCAGGCCUAACACAUGCAAGUCGAACGAGUGGCGGACGGGUGAGUAAUGUCUGGGAAACUGCCUGAUGGAGGGGGAUAACUACUGGAAACGGUAGCUAAUAACGCAUACCAGCGGAUGGGCCCAGAUGGGAUUAGCUCGUGGGUGGGGUAACGGCUCACCUAGGAGACGAUCCCUAGCUGGUCUGAGAGGAUGACCAGCCCCACUGGAGCCGAGCCACGGUCCAGUCUCCUACGGGAGGCAGCAUUGGGGAAUAUUGCACAAUGGGCGCAAGCCUGAUGCAGCCAUGCCGCGUGUAUUAAGAAGGCCUUCGGGUUGUAAAGUACUUUCAGCGGGGAGGCGUUACCCGCAGAAGAAGCACCGGCUAACUCCGUGCCAGCAGCCGCGGUAAUUC